rnacentral:rRNA from 1 species
UCAGUCGACUCCUACGGGGAGGCAGCAGUGGGGAAUAUUGCACAAUGGGGGAAACCCUGAUGCAGCCAUGCCGCGUGUGUGAAGAAGGCCUUCGGGUUGUAAAGCACUUUCAGUAGGGAGGAAGGUAGUGUAGUUAACACCUGCAUUAUUUGACGUUACCUACAGAAGAAGCACCGGCUAACUCCGUGCCAGCAGCCGCGGUAAUACGGAGGGUGCGAGCGUUAAUCGGAAUUACUGGGCGUAAAGCGCAUGCAGGCGGCCUGUUAAGUCAGAUGUGAAAGCCCGGGGCUUAACCUCGGAAUUGCAUUUGAAACUAGGCAGGCUAGAGUCUUGUAGAGGGGGGUAGGAAUUUCAGGUGUAGCGGUGAAAUGCGUAGAGAUCUGAAGGAAUACCAGUGGCGAAGGCGGCCCCCUGGACAAAGACUGACGCUCAGAUGCGAAAGCGUGGGGAGCAAACAGGAUUAGAUACCCUGGUAG